CUUUGAACUAUUUGAGAGCUUUUAAUCCACAAAACAAUGGCAAAUAAUUGGGACUGACAUACAAAGAAGAAGCAGUGCAACAAGGAGAGAGGGGGUGAGGAGUGGGGGCUGUAUGAAAAACCUCAGUUAACAAAAAAAAAAAUAAUUAUGUUCUGAGUUUUUAUAAUAUUUUCCGAUAUGUACCAUGGAAUGCACACCUAAAAAUACCAGAGGCUAACACUGCCAUAAGCAAGCUGACAAGGCAAUAACUAAAAUAAAUCUUUAAUUAAAACAUAAUGCAGUGAUGAUACUUAAAAUCCAAAGAUGGUCUUUAAAAAAAUAAUUGUAUAAAAAAUGUGUCUAUACUUGAACUUCAAAUAUUUCUUAAAAUUUAAAUUAAAGAAUUUUUUAUACUUGUUUAAAAAUUGUAUUUUUUUAAUACUAAAAAAAAUAAUUUGACAGAUUUGUAUUAUGGCUGCUACAAAAAAACAAACUAGUAUUCUUUAAUUAUGCAUUAUUACCAGUAGUGGUUAUAAAACUGUUAAAUCUUUUUGUAUGAUAUAAAAAAUUGUUAUAUUAAAAUUAAAUUAUGGUAACAACAAAUUUUUAAAAAUUAAUAUAGCAAAAUAUUUUUAAAAAAUUGAAAUCUUUCUGUCACUAAACAAAACAAAAAAAAAAAAAAAAAAACAACUAAGUAG